AUGUACACACUAUCUGCACUUUUCCUUUCAAAAUGACUUACUUGGAGCCAUUUGAUGUACUAGAUUGUUAAGAUACAAAGAAAAUAAUCUUUAGGAAUAAAUUUCAGAAGUCAAGUUUUAAAAUGGUAGAGACAGACCUGUAUGAAGAUGUGAGGCAGCCAUUAAUCUUCACUAAAAUAUCAGAUGGUGUGGAUACUAGAUGAGAAGAUAAAAUGAGAAGAAAGCAGUAGAGGAAGCAGAGACCAGAUUGCAACAGCCCUGGCUGAGAUGGUGGCAGCUUGGAACAGAUAUUGUUUGUGGAGAUUUGAGAAGAAGUCAGACUUUGACUUCUGUUUAGCUUUAAAUCUGAUAAGGAUCCUAUUAAUUAUGUUUGAAUUGCAUACAUGAAGAAUAUUAGAUGACGAUUUCUGAAGUUUUUCUGACUAAUGAAAAAUCAGAGGUGAACAGAUUUUAAAAUAAACAAUUGCAGCAAUAUAAAAAGUCUCUACAGUCAAUAUAUUCUAUAAAUGAAGGUGUGAUCUGUUGGCAAAACAGAGCAUGGCUGGUUGAGGCAUCACAGCAGACCCAUCUGGCUAAAUCCUAAUGGACAGAUCAAAAAUGAUUCUGUCUGAGGCUAUUUUAUGUGAUGAAAAUCUCAUAAACUUAAUGAAACAAAGACAAUUUACUACUGAACGGGAAAGUCACCAGAUAUAGGUUCUGAAAGAAAAAUUCUGAAAAGGAAAGUGGUAGAAGGAGCAAUCAGGUGACUCUGAUGGAUAUUUCCAAAAUAACUGCUGUAUCUGACUUUUUGGUGUCUGCA